rnacentral:tRNA from 1 species
GGAGGCAUGGUUCAGUGGUAGAGCACUUGCCUAGCAAGUUCAAGGGCCUGAGUUCAAACCCCAGUACCAGCA